UAUGCAAGUAUACUAACAAUGAUGUUGUUUGAUGCUUAGACAAGUGUCAAGCUAUUGAUUGAAUGGUAACAUGUUUAAUUAUAAGAAGUAUUGAAAUGGUAAGUACCUAGAUGAAAAUAAAAUUUAAGAUUUUGCGAAAUUUUUUUUAUGAUCCCGAUUUAAUUCUGGUUGGUUUUUAAUGUAUGUUUGGGGCUUCGAUGGCCUAAUAGAGAGACGUUAUGAUUAUUUUCAAAAUAUGAAUAAUAAAUGACUCAGAAUUAUCUGAAAAUAUUCAGUAAACUCCGGUAAUGCCUAUACAUAUUCCGGCAAUGGAUACGUGUAGGGGGUGUUACACAGAGAGUUGGGGCUCUCACGAGUGGCUCCUCGCACGGCCUCCUUCGCACGUUUCCUCUGUA
rnacentral:lncRNA from 1 species